rnacentral:rRNA from 1 species
UACGGGGGGGGCAAGCGUUGUUCGGAAUUACUGGGCGUAAAGGGCUCGUAGGCGGCCAACUAAGUCGGAUGUGAAAUCCCCAGGCUUAACCUGGGAACUGCAUCCGAUACUGGAUGGCUUGAAUCCGGGAGAGGGAUGCAGAAUUCCAGGUGUAGCGGUGAAAUUCGUAGAUAUGGGGAGGAACACCGGUGGCGAAGGCGGCGACCUGGUCCAUUACUGACGCUGAGGCGCGACAGCGUGGGGAGCAAACAGG